GUGCGAGACCGAUAGCGAACAAGUACCGUGAGGGAAAGAUGAAAAGAACUUUGAAAAGAGAGUUAAAGAGUACCUGAAACUGCUGAAAGGGAACCGAAUCGUUUCCAGUGUCUAUAAUCCAUGGUAUAUUUCAUUGGUGUGUAAGUGCGUGCGGCGUUUUGGAAGUAGUUUUCUGCUCCUGUCGUUGUUGUGCAUUUGCCUGCUGGUGCCCUGUGCUGUGGUGGGACGUCAGAGUCAGUUCGUGUGUUGCGGGAAAUGGUUAUUGGGGAGGUAGGUCACUUCGGUGGCUGUUAUAUCCUGAUAACUAGUCGUCGUGGCUGGGACUGAGGUGCCUACAACGUGCUUUUGAGUCUGCGGGCUUCUCGUGUUGCUGUUUGCUUGGAUAGCUUGCUAUGUUUGUAAAUAAGUCGUGCGAUUGAGACCUGUAGUAACUUGUUGCUGUUCGGGACUUUGA
rnacentral:rRNA from 2 species